rnacentral:miRNA from 1 species
GAGACAGUUUGCAUUAUGUAGUUCAGGCUGGCUUGGACUCACUGUGCAGCCCAAGGUAGCCUCGAACUCAUGGCAAUCCUCCUGCCUCAGCCUC